rnacentral:rRNA from 1 species
GACGAACGCUGGCGGCGUGCUUAACACAUGCAAGUCGAACGGAAAGGCCCUGCUUUUGUGGGGUGCUCGAGUGGCGAACGGGUGAGUAACACGUGAGUAACCUGCCCUUGACUUUGGGAUAACUUCAGGAAACUGGGGCUAAUACCGGAUAGGAGCUCCUGCUGCAUGGUGGGGGUUGGAAAGUUUCGGCGGUUGGGGAUGGACUCGCGGCUUAUCAGCUUGUUGGUGGGGUAGUGGCUUACCAAGGCUUUGACGGGUAGCCGGCCUGAGAGGGUGACCGGCCACAUUGGACUUGGGAUCGGGCCCGAACUCUGACGGGGGGCAGAAGGGGGGAAAUUGGCACACAGGGCGGCGGCCGGAUGGAGCAACGCCGGGGGGGGGAGAACGGCUUUCGGGUGUUAACCCGCUUUCCCUUGUGUGGAGGGGGGGGGACGGGAAAUGGGGAAAAAGCCCCCGCCUAAUACGGG